rnacentral:tRNA from 1 species
GCCGAAGUGGUGGAAUUGGUAGACACAGGGGACUUAAAAUCCCCCGGCCUUAAAAGCUGUGCCGGUUCGAUUCCGGUCUUCGGCA